UACAGAGGGUGCGAGCGUUGUCCGGAAUCACUGGGCGUAAAGGGCGCGUAGGCGGCUCGGUAAGCGUGCGGUGAAAGCCCGGGGCUCAACCCCGGGUCGGCCGUGCGAACUGCAGAGCUGGAGCACUGUAGAGGCAGGUGGAAUUCCGGGUGUAGCGGUGGAAUGCGUAGAGAUCCGGAAGAACACCGGUGGCGAAGGCGGCCUGCUGGGCAGUUGCUGGACGGCUGAGGUGCGACAGCGUGGGGAGCAAACA
rnacentral:rRNA from 1 species